rnacentral:lncRNA from 10 species
AAAAAAUUAGCUGGGUGUGGUGUCUUGCAUUUGCACAGCUACUCAGGAGGCUGAGGCAGGAGGAUUGCUUGAGCCCAGGAGAUCGAGGCUGCAGUGAGUUACGAUCAUGCCACUGCACUCCAGCCUGGGCAACAGAGCAAGACCUUGUCUCUAAAAAUUAAAAAUAAAAGUAAAAAUUAAAAAUUAUUAGUUGUUCAUUUGAAAUUCAAAUUUAACUGGGGUGCUGCAUUUUUAUUUGCUAAAUUUGAUAAUGCUAAGCUGACAUCAAAUAAUCCAGUUUAAUGAGAGUUCUGUGAAAAUAUGAACAAUAAGUACAGGCAGCCCAACAGCCUCACUAAACUCAAGUGCCUGCUUUUUGCCUACAGAACAGCAGGCAUCUGAUUAAUGAUCACGACUGACCCAGUAUCCAGUAGAAAACAGGAAAUUCCCCAAAAGGAUAUUGCAAUGCUACUUGAAAAAAAAAAUGAAAUGAAAAAUACUACACAGUCAAAAGUUAACAAGGUCUACCAUAGUUAUGAAACACCCUUUCUAAGGAUGACGCAGGCUGAGGUUGGUAAAGAUAGAUCUCUCCUCUAUCAUAAUUUUUCCAAAGGUACUUACCUAAAAAGCAAAGGGUGAUUCAGGACACCUAGGUCCUUGCCUUAUUCCAGGACUGGUCACUGUAGGAUUGGAGGUGAAGACCUUAACAGCAACUUCCACCCCAUCCUCAGUGCCUCAAUUUCACCCUAGAUGCAAACAGAGACCAUCUGAAGGCCCUCAGAAGAAAAGUGUGUGAUGUAGUCAAGGAAGUCUUCCACCAUUUAAAUAAACAGCCACAGUGAGGUAGCUCUGCCCCUCCGAUGAGAAGGGAGGAAAAUUGCCUCAUUAAAAAACAUUUUCAAUAAAAAAUUUUCAUCAGAAACAUUCACAAGAGGGUUUUGGUCAAAUGACGCAAUAAUUUUAAGGCAAUAAUAACCAUGUUUUUGAAAGUCGGUGCUGAUUACCAGGUGUAUUGAAAAUGGCCUUGGGGAAAUCUCUGUGCAAAUAUUUCCUUUUUAGUUUAAUUUCAAAGACUACUUAAAAGGAAAAAGGGAGGAUGUCUGCAGUAAUAAAGGAGCAAUCAUUUGCACCUGGACAGGACUGUGUUUCAUCCCAGAAUCUGGAGCGUUUUGUAUACAGAUGGGAGAGCCCGGGUGUGCGGCAGAGGCUGCGGGGUCAGGAAGGGACAUGGCAAAAAAACAAUGUACCUCUACCAAGGUCACACGGAAACACAGGUGGAUUCGAUAGCACGGCUCCCGCCUGAUUACAAUCACACAGCUUCCCUGCUCUGAAGAAAGCAUAGAUCACGUGAUGGGAGGUCCCUCCUACCUUCAAAAUCAAAGCCUCUGCAGCUGCCACAAAGCUAAUAUGGCCAUGGCCAAGUUUACUGAGCAUCUGCUACAUGCACAGCCUGUUAGGCACCACAGGGGAGAAUGAAGAGGGAUAGACCCUGAUCCUGCCAGCAAGUGCGAGACGAGCUCAGGAGGCAAGACUGGCUUGUGCGUGUGUGCACAGAGUGGCUUUGUACUACUCUCUUUAUGGAGAGAUGGAAUCUGUCAGCAAGGGUGUAAGGGGGUAUACAGACCUUCCUCAGGCCUCCAAGUGUAGGAGACACUUAGAUAGAAACGUGGGACAUUUCAUAAUGUUUCAUAAUGUCUUAUAUUCUAUCCCUCUCUACUAGAAAACUGGAGAACCCCUGCCUUUCCCCUAAGAAAUGCAAAAUAGACUUCAGGCUGGUCCCAGGCUGUUUGCAGAAAACCAGACAUUGGAGGUCUCUUCCAAGAAGUUCAAAAGGGGUUCUGCUGCCUGCAGAAGAUGGGUAAGCUUCGCCCUUUUCCAAUCCUCUAAUCAAAGAGGAUGCAUGAAAGUCUUUGAAGAAAGUCUCUGCAGAAGGCUGAUUCACCCUCAAAUUUUUUUCUCUGCCUUCUCCUCCUAUGGCCUGCAAUUUCCACAAUUAGAAAUUAAUUCCUUUGAAUUUUUUCUGCUAAAAUACAUAUAAGCCUGGGAAAGGAAACAGCAGUUGUAUUCCAGAGUGAAUGUACUUAUUCUGAAAGAGUAUUUUGAUAAGGGGAGAAAGAAUUUAAGAGUUCCUGGGAAUGAGGGAAUUGGGAACGGUUAAAAGGAGCCUCAAAGAGAGGAGAAACAACUUUGGAAUGGAAAGAUUCCGUCGAGAGGGGGCCCAAGCCAAACUUUUCCUCUCUCAGAGCUUUGCACAAGCCAAGCAGGUCAAAACCAGGUCUCCAAUCAGCAAAAGGGGGUAAAAGGUUGGGGAAUAUUGGAGCAAGUUCAGGCAUUGGAUACAAAGGCUUCCUUUAGUCUAGGAAUUGUGCAAGCACCAAGGGUGCAGUGAAAGGUAAGACCCAGCUCCUGCCCUCAAUGUAGAGUUCACAACGUAGUUGGGAGAAUCAGUACUCAUCAUUCGGGUUGAGGGCCUUGGAUGUUCUGGCCACACACAGAGGAGGGGCACGGUCAGCAGGCACCUGAUGCAGCCUGGAGAAAGGGGAGGAUGGGACACAUAGACUGGCUAUAAAGAAAAAGACAAGUUAGAAGUAGCCUAACCAGUGACUAGGCACGGUGGCUUACACCUGUGAUUCCAGCACCUUGGGAGGCCAAAGCAGGAGGAUCACUUGAGGCCAGAACUUCAAGACCAGUGUGGGCAACAUGGUGAAACUCUGUCUCUACAAAAAAAUAACAAAAAAUAGCCUGGUAUGGUGGCACAUACCUGUGGUCCCAGCUACUUGGAAGGCCGAGUGGGAGGAUCACCUGAACCGGGGAGGUCAAGGCUGCAGUGAGCCAUGAUCAUGCUACUGCACUUCAGCCUAGGUGACAGAGAGAGACCCUGUCUUAAAAAAAAAAAAAAAAAUCAGCUGAGCAUGGUGGUAUGCACUUGGAGUCCCAGCUAUUCAGGGGCUAAGGCAGAAGGAUCACUUGAGCCCAGGAGUUUGAAGCUGCAGUGAGCCAUGAUCACACCACUGCAUUCCAGCCUGGGUGACAGAGCAAGACCCUGGCUCUAAAAAUAAAUAAAUAAAUUUUUUUAAAAAAAGAAGUAGCCCACCAGGAAAAGGAAAGGCAUACCAAGUGGAGGAGAGCACAUAAGCAAAGGCUUGGGGGAAAGCACCUUCUAUGUGGUAGGAAUGUAGGUCCUUAAGCGGAUGUGAAGGGAGAUGAGGCUGCAAAGGUGUUUGACCACCAGAGUACUGGAGGUCAUGUCAAGAAGUUUCAACUUCCUGGCUGGGCGCAGCGGCUCACGCCUGUAAUCCCAGCACUUUGGGAGGCCGAGGCGGGCGGAUCACCUGAGGCCAGGAGUUCGAGACCAGCCUGGCCAACAUGGUGAAACCUCCAUCUCUACUAAAAAUACAAAAAGUAGCUGGGCGUGGUGGCGGGUGCCUAUAAUCCCAGCUACUCGGGAGCCUGAGGCAGGAGAAUCUCUUGAACCCAGGAGGCAGAGGUUGUAGGGAGCCAAGAUCACGCCAUUGCACUCCAGCCUGGACAACAAGAGCGAAACUCCGUCUCAAAAAAAAAAAAAAGAAGUUUCAACUUCCUUAGGAAAGCAAUCACAAGCUUCUGAAGAAUUGUAAGCAGAGGACUACAUGGCAAUUCGUAUCUGCCUUGUUCACCAGAAGGCAGGCAGAUGAUGGAAUGCAGGGGAAUGAGGCUGGGGACAGGGGCGCCAGUUAGGAGGUUAUGGUAAUAGAUUCGAGAUGAAGGACUCACCUGAAGCAGGUGCAGAGAGUAUAGAGGAAGAUUGGGAAGAUCUGAGGACCAAUGUAGGGGCUGAGGGAAUGUAAGAGGGUGACAACCAUUGCCUGGAUUGCCAGCAGGGCCACGGGGAAUGGCUCUGUCCACUGAAAAAAGGAAGGCAGGGAUGUCAUGCAGGGCUUAGCUUUGAAAGUUUGGAUGAAAGCAAAAUUUCAUAUGGCCAACAUUGCACUUGAAAAUCCCUUAAAUUACCCAUAAUGUACAGCAGAGAUCAUCAUGGCUUUGGUUGAAUCAGAUGAAGUUCCAAGGCCUUGUUAUAUGUGAAAUGCAGAUUUUUUUUUUAUGUCAGGGUCUUGCUCUGUCACCCAGGAUGGAAUACAGUGGCAUAAUUAUAGCUCACUGCAGCCUUGAAUUCCUGGGCUCAAGCGAUCCUCCUGCCUCAGCCUCCUAAGCAGCUGGGGUUAUAGGUGCAUGCCACUGCUCUCAGCUGAAAUACAGAUCUUAAACCCCAAAAAUCGCACUCAGCAUGGAGAGAUGCUCAUUACAGGAAAAACACAAGGAACUCCACAGAAAUAGAAGAAUCAGGUCUUCCACUUCUUCACCCCAGGGUUUUCGGCCAUGGGUAGAAUGACCAGCAGGAACUCCAAGCACUAUUUGAGUCUAUGAUUCUCAACCUUGGCUGCACAUUGGAAUCACCUGGGGAGCUUUGAAAAAUACAGAUGCCUGGGUUCCACCCCCAGAGAUUCUGAUUCCAUCCUUCUAGAGAACAGUGUACGCAUCUGAAUUCUUAAAAGCUCCUUAGAGAUUCUAAGGUGCAGACAAGGUUGAGAACCACUGAUUUAAGUUGUUCUCUCUCCUCACCUUUGCCUCAUUUGAAUUUCUAUGAGUUAAAGGGCAAAGGGUGAGUUCAGUUUUGGACUUGGGUUCAAGCAAAGACAUCCUCUACCCUCUACUAAUGAUCCCUCUGGGUCUUAUAAAUGUUUAUCCAGGCAGCCCUGGGUUCAGCAACAGUUCCUGAUUGAUGGGUACAGUUGCUGGGAUGGGGAAGAGGCUCUUCCAGACAGUAGUUCCAGACAGCUUGACUCUGAAACACAAACAAACAGAAAAUAGUCACUCUGCCUCCCAACCUGUUCAGCACUGGGGAGGUGGCAGGGUGGGGAUCAGGGGAAGAUUUCAAACAAGGGCAACAUUUACUAGGCUUUUCCAACCACGCUAGAAUAGUUAUUACUGCAAAUAGCCGAUUUGACUGCUACGAGUCUAUAAUUUCAAUCUCUGAAGUAACAUGUUCUCAGAGCUUCUGGUAUCUCAGUUUGUUGAUGCAAUGAGGAAAAUCCAAGGACAGUACUUCAGGCGCGUCCUCAUGCCCCAGGUGCUAGUGCCCUAGUGAGAACCAGGCUCUGCAAAAUCAGGCUCCAAGACUGUCACAAGGAGCCUCCUUCAGAGUCUAGGUUAGGGCUAAGUUCUUAUUUUUCUUCCCAUGCUUGCAAUCUGUACGCCCUCUCCUUAAAAUGGUCAUUGUGUUACAGGAAAGGGGUCCUGAUCCAGACCCCAAGAGAGAGUUCUUGGAUCUUGCACAAGAAAGAAUUCAGGGCAAGUCCAUAGAGUAAAGUGAAAGCAGGUUUAUUAAGAAAGUAGAAGAAUAGG